CCUGCGGAGGGAUCAUUACUGAGUUUACGCUCUACAACCCUUUGUGAACAUACCUAUAACUGUUGCUUCGGCGGGUAGGGUCUCCGCGACCCUCCCGGCCUCCCGCCUCCGGGCGGGUCGGCGCCCGCCGGAGGAUAACCAAACUCUGAUUUAACGACGUUUCUUCUGAGUGGUACAAGCAAAUAAUCAAAACUUUUAACAACGGAUCUCUUGGUUCUGGCAUCGAUGAAGAACGCAGCGAAAUGCGAUAAGUAAUGUGAAUUGCAGAAUUCAGUGAAUCAUCGAAUCUUUGAACGCACAUUGCGCCCGCCAGCAUUCUGGCGGGCAUGCCUGUUCGAGCGUCAUUUCAACCCUCAAGCUCUGCUUGGUGUUGGGGCCCUACAGCUGAUGUAGGCCCUCAAAGGUAGUGGCGGACCCUCUCGGAGCCUCCUUUGCGUAGUAACUUUACGUCUCGCACUGGGAUCCGGAGGGACUCUUGCCGUAAAACCCCCAAUUUUCCAAAGGUUGACCUCGGAUCAGGUAGGAAUACCCGCUGAACUUAAGCAUAUCAAAAA
rnacentral:rRNA from 1 species